CGCGCUCAUAGCUCAGCUGGAUAGAGCACUUGGCUACGAACUAAGGGGUCGGGAGUUCGAAUCUCUGAGCGCACC
rnacentral:tRNA from 1 species